rnacentral:rRNA from 1 species
GAUGAACGCUGGCGGCGUGCCUAAUACAUGCAAGUCGAGCGAACAGACGAGGAGCUUGCUCCUCUGACGUUAGCGGCGGACGGGUGAGUAACACGUGGAUAACCUACCUAUAAGACUGGGAUAACUUCGGGAAACCGGACCUAAUACCGGAUAAUAUAUUGAACCGCAUGGUUCAAUAGUGAAAGACGGUUUUGCUGUCACUUAUAGAUGGAUCCGCGCCGCAUUAGCUAGUUGGUAAGGUAACGGCUUACCAAGGCGACGAUGCGUAGCCGACCUGAGAGGGUGAUCGGCCACACUGGAACUGAGACACGGUCCAGACUCCUACGGGAGGCAGCAGUAGGGAAUCUUCCGCAAUGGGCGAAAGCUUGACGGAGCAACGCCGCGUGAGUGAUGAAGGUCUUCGGAUCGUAAAACUCUGUUAUUAGGGAAGAACAAAUGUGUAAGAAACUAUGCACGUCUUGACGGUACCUAAUCAGAAAGCCACGGCUAACUACGUG